AUCGGGGGACAUGAAGCCCAGCCCAAUUCCAGACCCUACAUGGCCUAUCUGGAAAUACAAGAUGGACAGGUUAAAAGAAUGUGGAGUGUUCCUGGUGAAGAAAAACUUUGUACUGACAGCUGCUCACUGCAGAGGAAAGCCGAAGGGUGGCUCCAAAGAGCCUGUUGGAAAGACUCUGACCCUGGCCUGCUGGCGGGAUGUGAGCAUCUCCUGUCUCUCCUUGUGCCUCAGUUUUCCCCCAUACCCUAUGGGGAGAAUGACAUCUGUGAUGUAAGGCCUAUGCAUGACGGACAGUCCCGAAGAACUGGGUGCUAUUACCAUUAUCGUGAGCAGUUCCCCGCUACUGUCCAUGAAAAUGGAAACACCAAAGACAGACCUGGGAAAGCCACCCUGAAUCCUCCAGCCCGACGCCAUUAGAAACACACAGAGAACAGCCAAGCAACCCUAGAGUGUAGGUCUGAAAGCCUAACCUUGAAAAUUGUUUUAAGUGAUAAUUAUUCUAAUUUUUGUUAGUAUAUGAUAUGAUGUGUUGUGAAUUAGUAAGGAGAAGUUGUUUUGGUUUUAUUCUUUGCUUUAUGAGUUAAUGAUUGUUUUUAGAAGGAUAGAAGUGUUAUGGCUGUAAUUCUUUCUUUUUAAAUUAUUUACUGUUUUGUGUGUGAGUGAAGAAUGUAUGGCAUGCUAACAGAUAGAGACAGGAGGCACCAGUACCAGAUGAGCCAGAUGGUCAAGAGGGGAGUGAAGGAAUUGAGAGUUGCCACCCUAAUUAUCAGAAGGACUGAAGAAGGGCAGAUUGACGACCCUAAAGCAGAGGCACAUCCCCCCACGCCCCAGGAUAAGAUAAAGAGUGGAGCCAGAGAGACGAGAUAAAAAACAGCUGCGGAAAACAACCCAAAUUAAUGCUGAUUUGACAGAGGCCCCAGCCCCAGCGUGCGGCAAAUCCAGAGCCCCCCGGGCACCCGUUUGUGAUUAACGACUGCAGUGUGACACAGCAGGUCCCAUAGACUUGCAGGGGAAUUUAUUGCUAUAAAAGAAGGGUGUAUGGCCAUGGGACUUUGGGUUUGUUCUGCGUCAACACCGGAGCUUCGAAUGCGUUUGACAGAGGCCCCAGCUCCCCUCCCUCGUUUGCAGUUUCAGUUGGCCACAGAAACUGAAUGAGCAGCGCUAAGGACUGCAAGAUCACUGUCAAGAUGGGAGCCCAUAACAUUAGGGAACAGGAAUGGAGCCAAGAGAAAAUCCCCGUCCACCACCAGAUUCCCCACCAGCAAUACAAAAAGAAGACCCUUAACAUUGACAUCAUGCUGCUGCAGGUAUCAUCCACUUCCCAUCACCCCACCCCCUGUGACCUCACACUGCUGCAGCUGC